GUAACUCAGUGGUAAAGUGCUUGCCUAGCAUGCAGGAGCUCCUGGGUUUAAUCCCCAGC
rnacentral:tRNA from 1 species